GAACUUUCAUCAUACCCAGAAAAUUACACCAGAGCCUGGCAUAGAACAUUUAUUUAAAAAAGUGAUAAAUAGAAAAUAUGGAAAUUGUGUCCUUGACUAUUUACAACAGAAGAAAGUAUGGGAUAGUAUAGGUGAGAGUGAAAUUCAGAAAUUAUACUAUAAAGGACAAGAAAAAUUAGUGGUGACUGUCCAUAAUGAAAAUUUUACUGUCAGUAGGCCUCAAGAACGUUUAAUACCUCAGAAAAGAAUUCAAUAUAUAACUGAAGGACAAGUUUCUAAAAGUGAUCACUUUGAAAAAUUUUUAAAAAAUGAUCCAUUAUUCAGAAGUGAACAAAAAAUUCCUUCUUGUGCCCAAACAUAUACUUUUAAUGAUUGUGGCAAGGCCUCUGUGUACUCAUUACUGCUUAAUCAAAACUCAAACAUAGAAUUCUGGAAAGUAUGGAACACGCAUAAUGAAACAAGAAACACCUUUAGCCAGGUUUCCACUCUAAACAAUUACCAGUGUACUUAUAUUGGAGAAAAAAUUUAUAAAUAUAGAAAAACACAGAAGAACUCUAGCUCUGGUUGCAAUAUGAGAGAACAUCAGUGUGGCCAUUGUGCACAGAACCCUUUCAGAAAUGACAAAUGUGGGAACGUCUUUCCUCAGUGCUCAAAGCUUAUGACCCAUCCAAGUACUCAGGGCCAAGAGGCACCUUGCAAAUGUGAGGAAUGUGAGAGAGCUUCUAAUCCAGCUGCUAGCCUUCCUCAAUACAGUGGAGCACAUUCUGGAAGGGAGCCCCCCAAAUUUAAGGAAUGUGUCCAAGCAUGGAGUUGCUCACCCCUUUCUAAACACCACAAGUUCCAUAGAAGUGAUCAACACUACAAAUUUAAAGAAUGUGGCAAAACUUUUAAUCAACAACCACCCCAAGUUAAGUACCACAGAAUUCAUACUGGAGAGAAUCCCUACAAGUGUGAAGAAUGUGGCAAAUGCUUUAAAAAUCACUCAACCCUUUUCAAACACCUGAGAUGGCAUAGCAGAGAGGAAACCUACAAAUGUAAAGAAUGUGGAAAAGUUUGUACGAGUUUUUCAACUCUUACUCAACACCAAACUAUUCACACAGGAGAGAAGCUCCACAAAUGUGAAGAGUGUGGCAAAAAUUUUACUCAAAGAGCAUACCUUACCCAACACAAGAGAAUUCACACAGGAGAGAAGCCCUACAAAUGUGAAACAUGUGGCAAAGCUUUUAAUCAAAGAUCACACCUUACUCAACACCAGAGACUUCAUACUGGAGAGAAGCCCUACAAAUGUGAAGAAUGUGGCAAAGCUUUUAUAGAUCAUUCAUACUUUACCAAACACCGGAGAAUUCAUACUGGAAAGCACCCCUACAAAUGUGAAGAAUGUGGCAAAGGUUUUAAUCAAAGUUCACACCUUACUCAGCACCAGAGUAUCCAUACUGGAGAGAAGCCCUACAAAUGUAAUGAAUGUGGGAAAGGCUUUAAUCUAAGAGCAUGUCUUACUCAACACCAGAAAGUUCAUACUGGAGAGAAGGCCUACAAAUGUGAAGAAUGUGGAAAAGCUUUUAUUCAAAGAGGGAACCUUAUACAACACCAGAGAAUUCAUACUGGAGAGAAGCCCUACAAAUGUAAUGAGUGUGGGAAAUGUUUUACUCUAAGAACAUGUGUUAUUCGACACCAGAGAAUUCAUACAGGAGAGAAGCCCUACAAAUGUGAAGAAUGUGGCAAAGAUUUUAAACUAAGGGCAUGCCUUAUUCAACACCAGAGAUUUCAUACUAAAGAGAAGCCCUACACAUGUCAAGAAUGUGGGAAAAAUUUUAAUCUAAGAGCAUGCCUUACUCGACACCAGAAAAUUCAUACUGGAGAGAAGCCCUACAAAUGUAAUGAAUGUGGCAAAGCUUUUAACCGAAGAUCUCGACUUACAAUUCACCAGAGACUUCAUACUGGAGAGAAGCCCUACAAAUGUGAAGAAUGUGGCAAAACUUUUAAUCGAAACUCAAAUCUCACAAAACACCAGAGAAUUCACACUGGAGAGAGGCCCUACAAAUGUGAAGAAUGUGGGAAAGGUUUUACUCAAAAAUCAUGCCUUAGUCGACACCAGAGAGUUCAUACUGGAGAGAAGCCCUACAAAUGUGAAAAAUGUGGGAAAAGUUUUAAUCUAAAAGCACAUCUUACUCGAUACCAGAGAGUUCAUACUGGAGAGAAGCCCUAAAAUGUGAAAAAUUUGGGAAAGGUCUCUCUCAGAGAGUGCAUUAUUCGACACCAAAGAAUUCAUGCAGGAGAGAGACUGUACAAAUGUGAAGAAUGUAUGAAAGAUUUUACUCAAAGAACAUGCCUUAUUUGACACUGGAAAAUUCAUAUUGGAGAAGCCCUUUAUAUGUGAAGAAUGUAAGAAAAGAUUUAAUCUAGGAGCAUGCUUUGUUCAACAUCAGAGAAAUAAAAAUGGGGACAGACAAUGCAAGUGUAAACACUGUUGCAGACCUUUUAGCAAUUGCUAAAAACAUUAUUACUCACUGGAGACUUCAGAGUGCAUAAAAACCCUGAACAAUGUAAAUACUGUGCCUAACGAAUUUCAAUUUUUUUUAACAUUAGAAACCAGAUACCUAUAGGGAAUGUGGAAAGACAUUUGCCUGAAAUACAUGCCUUAAAUAACAGCAAAAUAUCUUUAAUGGAGAAAACACAUUAGAAAUAUAAAAAAUAUAGCAAAGUCCUCAUCUGUAAGUCAUAUCAUGAUGUAUGUGGGAAAGAAAUUAGGAAUUGCCUUUAAGUUUUGUUAAAAUUUAUUAUAAGCUGAUGUGGUUAAAAAUAAAGAAAUUCUCACAAGUAUCAUAGAAUAGUGCAGUAAACUAAUCUCUGAAAAGAUAUGAAUAUAUUAUAAAUCAAAGAUUACUCAAUAUUCUAACUUUUGAAAACUGGAGAAAAAAAUUUCAAACAUAGAUCAUUUUAUGAGAAGUCUUUUCCUGAGAGUUAAUAUAUAUUUUUGAGACUUUACAGUGUAUUUUGAAAUACUUUAUUAACAUUUUAUAUGCAUUUGGUUACU
rnacentral:lncRNA from 1 species